GUAAAUGUUUCAUGAUAAUGGGUUAGGUAAAUGUUUCAUGAUAAGAAUUUCAUGUCUUUUGUAUUAAAGAAUUAAAUGGAUGAAAUAUGAAGUUUUAUUAAAAGAAAAAGGGGUGAAAAGAACAAAGUUUUGUCCAUCUUUGUUCAUCAUAGCUGAAAGUUAGAGAAGAGAAAGGAGAGGGGAAAGCUCUUGAGUAUUUGGUCAUUAGGAGGAGGAAAAUUGACGGCGGUUCGUGUGUGGAUCUUGUCAGCAUAUCGUCGCAAACAGGUAAUCCCCAACCAUAGUGGGUUUGGAGCUGUGAGGGAAUUCGGAGUGGCCACC